AGAGACAGUCUCCCCAAAGCUAGUCAUUAAGGGCACAUGCUACUGGAAAGAUUUUCUUCAUUGGUCCCACUGAAUGGAGCAGGCAGUGUUGUUGAACAGCUUCCAUUCAGCUUGUGCUGGAGCACUUCCUGGUGGCUUAUUCCAAAGCUCCAUUUUCAUCCAUAUUCUGGGAAUUUUGGAGUUGUCCAGGCCACUCCACAUGGAUAAUUUUCUAAACAUCUGAACCAUCUCAUAGAUCCACUGUAUAAGUUUCACUAACUUUUAUAUUACUUUCGAGGAUGGGGUCACACCACAAGACAGCACUGUUCAAUGAGAGCCUGCCUUCUCCUAAGGUAUGAGCAGCACUUCCAGGAUUCAUAAAUGCCAAAGAAGAUGAAAGAGAAGAGUUUAGGAGACUCAAGGCAGCUUAAAAACUUCCUCUCCCCACAACAGAUACCUUGUAGGUGGGGCUGAGAGAGGGGAUGCAAGUGGUAUUCAAGAAUACAGAGGGAAGUUGGAGCUCCUCUUUUUUUUCCAGCUCAGAAUAAUGAAUAGAAAUGUAUUUUUUAAAAAAGAAAAACAAUGGGCUGGAGGGCAUGGCAACACUUCAGCACUUUUGGCUUUCAUCCCCUCAAAGUAUCCUGUAAUCCUCUCACA